UGUUGGAGUUCACUUCAACCCAUUUGUCAGUUGGAACGACAGGAAGCUCAAGUAUGGGGUUGUUCGGAUGAAUGACCUAGUACAGGACAUUCUGGACUGGAACAGAUUCUACUUGAGUGGCCGUUUACAAAAACCCGUUCAUUUGCUUGUUGAUAAUCUGGACAUACAAGACGUCAACUCUGUUAAUAAGAGAGCCGCAGUAUCUGCAGCCCUUCUUCUCUUGCCUUCAAAAUUCACCGAGGAAGAUCUAUACGCCAAAAUAUGCAGCCUUUCUU